GUGUAAUCAACUUAGAGCCCUACCAGUAGUGUACAGGCCACCUUUCAUUCCCGAGGUCCAGCACAGCCUUGGGGCUGAGCCAUGACCCCGGCUGCUGCCGUCCGGCUCUGUGCAUUGUGCAUGUGGAGUGACUACUGAGUUUUGGAGAGAUCAGACCUGAAGUUAUAGUUAUGCUUUAGAAUGAAGACGUAUAAGAAGUAAUGGAUUAGAAAGAUUUUAAGAAAAUAAUAUCACUCGGCUUGGUGACUGGACAUGGAACAUGGUGGUAAGUGGAAGCUUCACAUUGGUAAGUAGAUGGUGCUCAUCACAACACUGACAUCAAGAGAAGACAAAGGGCUUGGGGCAGGGGCAGAGGAGCCAUGGGUGAGGGUGAGCAACUUGGAGGACAGAUAAAGGACCCACCUGCUUUUAUACAUAGAAAUGUAAUGGCCCACAAAGGUCAUUCUAAAGUUUGACUUGAAGCCUACAGUUAAGUGAAGGUUGAAGCUAUGUGAUUACAUGAUGUAAAAAAAAUAAGCAUAAAUUGUGAGUGGCUAAUGCACUGGCUGUCAAGUUUAACUAACGGUGAGGAGGUGAGCAAAAAAGGAGAAAGUCAUUAAGUAGCCCAAGGAGGAGCUGGGAGAGAGCAGGACAAUGAUGUGGGAGGGAAUUGUAAGGAAAAAGUGUAAGAUCUCGGAAAGUCUCAGAUUGUCUUAAGCUAAUCAUUACUUUAAGAAAACUGCUUUGGAAUCAUUAAAACAGAUUACUUGAUUUGCAGGAAAACAUAGUGAACUACGUAGUGUAGCUUCUCCAUCUUGUGUCAUUCGUUAGUCCCUCAGCUCUAAGAACGGGUAUCACGAGGAGAGAAAAAUAGCUACACUAAUGGGUCAUGGUGGAGCUGCUAAAGAUUUGUGCUGCCUAUUUUAUAGUUUUUAAUUGACAUUAUGAAAACAAUGAAAAUUUAAUAAAUCAAUAAUAUCUAUCCCAAGGAUUUAUAUUUGUAACUAUAACACUGACUUAAGUUGCAAAGAAGUUUCUUACAAUGAGAAUUGCCCAGGAGAUGGAUUUCACUGAGUGCUUGAUAAGUAUUUUACAUUGUAGUGGCAGUCAGACCCCUCGGGAUUUAGCUCGCCAUAUACUUUUCCUUCACUUAAUAAUUGAGAAGUAUUCCAAAGACUGAUCAUAGUGGAAAUGACCUCAUUAUCACUCUUGCUGCCAAAAGCAAUCCAGGACAGAUCAUUUAAUCUCAGUGUGAGAUGAACAAAACAGUCUGGGAAUGAAAAAGAGAAUUUGGAACAUGCCUCCCAAAGAAUUGUGCUCCGUUCCUCUCACAAAACUGAUCAUGAAACUUUGGUUGCAACACCAGAUUGCUCCUCUGAUUUAAGAACUGGCGCAUGUCAUGAUGGGCAGAAUCCUGCAGAUGAAGUCUCGGAUAGCAUAAAGUUAGCAUGCGCCGCAAAAAAUUUAGACACCCAUCUCCCCAGGAGGCUCUCAUCCACUACCAAGACACAGUUUCUGACCAAGCCCCAAGCAGUUCCUCUGGCGGCUCCCUCAGCAGUCAGCAUUUCUGCUUCUGCACUGCCCUCUGACGGCCGCACGCCUCAAGUGCAGACCAAAGUGCUGGUCGGGAAACGGAAGGCCCUUCGGACAGAUACUUCUGAUAAAAAUAUGCAAACUCUUGUUUAAAAAAGAAUGCUCUCUAAUUAAAAAGAAAUUUGAAAACGUGUUUCGAGGUUCCGACAAGAGAACAGGAGCACUUUUUUAAGAAAAACAAUAUCGAGGUACAUUUUACACUCAAUAAAAUGCAUUCUUUUAAAGUGUGUCAGUUCAAUGGGUUUCGACACAUGUACAGACCCAGCCACGAGCACCAUCAACAUGCAGAGCGUUUCCAUUACCUCCCGGAAUGUACGUUUGUGCACUUACAGACAACCCCACCCCAGCCCUUGCCCAAGGGACCAAUGAUCUGCUCUCUCACCAUACAUUAGUUUUGACUUCUUAAAAUUUCAUAGAAAUGCAAUUAUAUAG